CUUACCAAGGCAAGACGGGUAGCUGGUCUGAGAGGAUGAUCAGCCACACUGGUACUGGAACACGGACCAGACUCCUACGGGAGGCAGCAGUGGGGAAUCUUGGUCAAUGGGCGCAAGCCUGAACCAGCGACGCCGCGUGAGUGAUGAAGGCCUUCGGGUUGUAAAGCUCUGUGGGGAGGGACGAAAGAGUCCAAUCUAAUAGGUUGGAUAGUUGACGGUACCUCCUUAGCAAGCACCGGCUAACUCUGUGCCAGCAGCCGCGGUAA
rnacentral:rRNA from 1 species